rnacentral:rRNA from 1 species
AGAGAGAGACAUGCGCGCAUAUCAAUAAGCGGAGGAAAAGAAACUAACAAGGAUUCCCUUAGUAACGGCGAGUGAAGCGGGAAGAGCUCAAAUUUGAAAUCUUCAAGGCUUUUACCUUGACGAAUUGUAGUUUAAAGAAGUGUUUUCUGCUGAAGUUUUGGUAAAAGUUCUUUGGAAUAGGACAUCAUAGAGGGUGAGAAUCCCGUAUUUGACCAUUAUUUUCAGCUUUGUGAUACACUUUCAAAGAGUCGGAUUGUUUGGGAAUGCAGUCCAAAAUGGGUGGUAAAUUUCAUCUAAAGCUAAAUAUUGGCGAAGAGACCGAUAGCGAACAAGUACCGUGAGGGAAAGAUGAAAAGAACUUAGAAAAGAGAGUUAAACAGUACGUGAAAUUGUCAAAAGGGAAGCGUUUGACACCAGUGUUGUUUUCUCGAAAAUCAAUUAAAAAUGGCUCGAUUUUGUAUUGCUGAGACCUUAAAAGCUCACUGUACAUUUUUCGUGUCUUUUUUAAUGCACUUUUCGUUUAACAAGUCAACAUCAGUUUCUUUUGUUGUAAAAGGGUCAUUGGAAGGUGGCUUUCUUUUCGGAGAAAGUGUUUAUAGCCUUUGGCCUCUGCAAUCGGAGAGACUGAGGUCUGCAGCGUAGACUCUUCGGGGUUAGAUACAUUUGUGCUAAGUUAUAGCUUUUUAUAGACAACUUGUUGACUAUAAUUAGUCUUGUAGCUUACUCGCUUAUGCUAUUUUACCUACGCUUAGGAUGUUGAAGAUGUAGCACAUCAU